AGCUCCAAUAGCGUAUAUUAAAGUUGUUGCAGUUAAAAAGCUCGUAGUUGAACUUCAGGCCUGGCUGGACGGUCUGCCUAACGGUAUGUACUGUCUGGCUGGGUCUUACCUCUUGGUGAGCCUGCAUGGCCUUUGUUGGCUGUGUAGGUGAACCAGGACUUUUACCUUGAGAAAAUUAGAGUGUUCAAAGCAGGCCUAUGCCCGAAUACAUUAGCAUGGAAUAAUAAAAUAGGACGUGCGGUUCUAUUUUGUUGGUUUCUAGAGUCGCCGUAAUGAUUAAUAGGGAUAGUUGGGGGCAUUAGUAUUCCGUUGCUAGAGGUGAAAUUCUUGGAUUUACGGAAGACUAACUUUUGCGAAAGCAUUUGCCAAGGAUGUUUUCA
rnacentral:rRNA from 1 species